rnacentral:rRNA from 1 species
GUCGAACGAACCUUCGGGUUAGUGGCGGACGGGUGAGUAACGCGUGGGAAUCUGCCCUCAGGAGGGGGAUAACGGUUGGAAACGACCGCUAAUACCCCAUAUGCCGAGAGGUGAAAUGAAUUUCGCCUGAGGAUGAGCCCGCGUCUGAUUAGCUUGUUGGUGUGGUAAAGGCUCACCAAGGCUUCGAUCAGUAGCUGGUCUGAGAGGAUGAUCAGCCACACUGGGACUGAGACACGGCCCAGACUCCUACGGGAGGCAGCAGUGGGGAAUUUUCCGCAAUGGGCGCAAGCCUGACGGAGCAACGCCGCGUGAGGGACGAAGGCCUCUGGGCUGUAAACCUCUUUUCUCAAGGAAGAAGAUAUGACGGUACUUGAGGAAUAAGCCACGGCUAAUUCCGUGCCAGCAGCCGCGGUAAUACGGGAGUGGCAAGCGUUAUCCGGAAUUAUUGGGCGUAAAGCGUCCGCAGGCGGCCUUUCAAGUCUGCUGUUAAAACGUGGAGCUUAACUCCAUCAUGGCAGUGGAAACUGAUAGGCUUGAGUAUGGUAGGGGCAGAGGGAAUUCCCGGUGUAGCGGUGAAAUGCGUAGAUAUCGGGAAGAACACCAGUGGCGAAGGCGCUCUGCUGGGCCAUAACUGACGCUCAUGGACGAAAGCCAGGGGAGCGAAAGGGAUUAGAUACCCCUGUAGUCCUGGCCGUAAACGAUGAACACUAGGUGUCGGGGGAAUCGACCCCUUCGGUGUCGUAGCUAACGCGUUAAGUGUUCCGCCUGGGGAGUGCGCACGCAAGUGUGAAAC